CUUCACCGAGCCGAGCCAGAGCGGGCGUUCGGCGGGGCGGUUCCUGCCGUAGGUGUCGAGGAGGGCCUGCGCCUC
rnacentral:antisense_RNA from 1 species